rnacentral:misc_RNA from 1 species
UCAAACUUGGUCAUUUAGAGGAAGUAAAAGUCGUAACAAGGUAACCGUAGGUGAACCUGCGGUUGGAUCAUUAACGAGGAAAGUGAGAGGAGCGAGAGAGCAAAGAGAAGAGGGGGUUGGUCGGUGUGUGCGGCCAACCUGGAGGCGAUCGCUGCUCCUGUCGAUGGUCUCUGGCGGCCGAGGCGAGAGGACCCGACGGGCCCAACCCCUGGGGCCGCCGGAAGAUAUCGUCAAGAGCCGCUGCGAAUCCCUCCCGCUGCUGAACUCCUCAACCUUUCGAGGGGUUGUGAUGCGCAUUUGAUUUUGUGGUGGUCCAUCCCCAAAAGAAAAAAAUUGGCUUUUGGACCCCUGAGAUGUCUUGUAGUGAAUCGCCUGAGAAAAAAAGAAAAGAAUUAAGACAAAAACAACUUUUGACGACGGAUCUCUAGGCUCUCGCAUCGAUGAAGAACGCAGC